AGAUUUGACGUCAAUGACAUACCCAGUGAAUCAGAAGUCACUCGUCUUCGACUAUGGGGAAACUAUUCUAUCCCGAGUGACAAUCCGUAUAUCGAAGAUAAAGAUUUAAAGCCAGAAAUCUGGGCCUUAGGAUUACAGAACCCAUGGCGUUGCAGCUUUGACUCAGAAAGAUGCUAAAAGCAACUUGCUGAAGUUGUGAAUUAUACGUAUGAAUGGCGUGAAGGGAGCUUGGGAGAAAGGUUAGUCUUUUAUUAACCCUAGCAGCGAUGACGAUUUCAAAAGAGAAUCUGGCAAAGUUAGGCAAGUCUGGUGACUUUUAUUUCAUUUUAUGUCUGUAUAUUCUCUCGGCCCCUCUUCUCCCCUGCACUUUGUUCUUAUUUGUGAGGUCAACCGACUCAAGCUCGAGUAGUUAUCAUCACACGAUGUAUAGAUGGGUGAACCACGACCGAGACAUGAUUGUGGAUUAACCACAUAUUCGAUGUAUACAAAUCAACAUGCAUGUGAUAUAUUUCAGUACAUAAAAAU